rnacentral:rRNA from 1 species
CGGUAGCACAGGAGAGCUUGCUCUCUGGGUGACGAGCGGCGGACGGGUGAGUAAUGUCUGGGAAACUGCCUGAUGGAGGGGGAUAACUACUGGAAACGGUAGCUAAUACCGCAUAACGUCUUCGGACCAAAGUGGGGGACCUUCGGGCCUCACGCCAUCAGAUGUGCCCAGAUGGGAUUAGCUAGUAGGUGGGGUAAUGGCUCACCUAGGCGACGAUCCCUAGCUGGUCUGAGAGGAUGACCAGCCACACUGGAACUGAGACACGGUCCAGACUCCUACGGGAGGCAGCAGUGGGGAAUAUUGCACAAUGGGCGCAAGCCUGAUGCAGCCAUGCCGCGUGUGUGAAGAAGGCCUUCGGGUUGUAAAGCACUUUCAGCGAGGAGGAAGGGUGGUGUGUUAAUAGCGCAUCACAUUGACGUUACUCGCAGAAGAAGCACCGGCUAACUCCGUGCCAGCAGCCGCGGUAAUACGGAGGGUGCAAGCGUUAAUCGGAAUUACUGGGCGUAAAGCGCACGCAGGCGGUUUGUUAAGUCAGAUGUGAAAUCCCCGCGCUUAACGUGGGAACUGCAUUUGAAACUGGCAAGCUAGAGUCUUGUAGAGGGGGGUAGAAUUCCAGGUGUAGCGGUGAAAUGCGUAGAGAUCUGGAGGAAUACCGGUGGCGAAGGCGGCCCCCUGGACAAAGACUGACGCUC